AGGGACGCUACCGCCGAGUGUGAGACAGCUAGCUGGAGAUUGCCGGUUCUUUUGUCUCAUGCUAGAGCGUCGUCCACGUGCAAAAUGUACGCGUGCAAAAAGUACGAGUAUGAUCUCCGUGCAUGGAAAGAAUGGGCGAUUACUAACGAUCAAAGUGUGAGCUGAAGAGGAGCUACUUAUUUUUACGAUUUAUGUAGAAAAGUGGCAAACACAGAACCCCGACAGAUCUAGUGCAUGGAUUUGCUGAUCGAAGAUACUGAUUGAAAGACAACCGACUGAAGUUGAAUGCUAAACAAUUUGUUUACAUUGUAUGCAGAAUUAAAGACGGAGUUACACUGUUA